CACAAACACACGCACACACAACCGGAGAUAGAUAGGAGCCGAGAAGACCUCUCGAUGCAUUGUCAUUGCGUCACGAGGAGCGCCAUCCUAUAGGCUGUAGCAGCGGUGGUCCCCGUGCCUCCUCUCCUCCGUCAGAGGAUUCGCGAGUCGUUGCUCCGACCUAUUGCGAUGAACCACUUCCAACGUCAUGUUCAGAGCGAUGACACACAAAGUGUAGUGGGCUACGGUACUGUGUAUUGCGCUCUACGGCAACGCCGCGCCGAGGCUCGGAUCAGGAAGUGAAUUUCAAGAAAACAGAAAAUCAGGAGGUAGAAUGACAUAGGGGAGAGGUGGAAUAGAUCAAGCUAGAAGGCACAAACCAACAGACGGAGGGAUCGACCCAAUCCUGGAUCCUCUUUUCGGUUAUUCGGGGACGUAUUGGACGGCAACAUGCUUAUAAAGGAAUUCCGAGUAAUCCUGCCUAUCUCUGUCGAGGAGUACCAGGUGGGCCAGCUGUACUCGGUGGCCGAGGCCAGUAAGAAUGAGACGGGUGGAGGGGAGGGGGUGGAGGUCCUGAAGAAUGAACCCUACGAAAAGGACGGAGAGAAGGGACAGUACACGCACAAAAUCUAUCACUUGCAGAGGUAACCACACCAUCACCCGACUCAUCUGAAUCUCCAUAAAUAUUAACAUUGUAAGUACCGCACACAUCCAUAUCUCUACCUGUAGGUAUCAACAUCCUUAUAACUGCACACAUCCAUAUCUCUACCUGUAGGCAUCAACAUCCUUA